rnacentral:rRNA from 1 species
UCGGGAAUUUUGGGCAAUGGGCGAAAGCCUGACCCAGCAACGCCGCGUGAGGGAUGAAGUAUUUCGGUAUGUAAACCUCGAAAGAAUGGGAAGAAUAAAUGACGGUACCAUUUAUAAGCUCCGGCUAACUACGUGCCAGCAGCCGCGGUAAUACGUAGGGAGCAAGCGUUGUUCGGAUUUACUGGGCGUAAGGGGCGCGUAGGCGGCGCGGUAAGUCACUUGUGAAAUCUCUGAGCUUAACUCAGAACGGCCAAGUGAUACUGCUGUGCUAGAGUGCGGAAGAGGCAACCGGAAUUCUUGGUGUAGCGGUGAAAUGCGUAGAUAUCAAGAGGAACACCUGAGGCGAAGGCGGGUUGCUGGGCCGACACUGACGCUGAUGCGCGAAAGCCAGGGGAGCAAACG